UGGGGAAUUUUGGACAAUGGGCGAAAGCCUGAUCCAGCAAUGCCGCGUGUGUGAAGAAGGCAUUCGGGUUGUAAAGCACUUUUGUCCGGAAAGAAAUGGCUCUGGUUAAUACCUGGGGUCGAUGACGGUACCGGAAGAAUAAGGACCGGCUAACUACGUGCCAGCAGCCGCGGUAAUACGUAGGGUCCAAGCGUUAAUCGGAAUUACUGGGCGUAAAGCGUGCGCAGGCGGUUGUGCAAGACCGAUGUGAAAUCCCCGAGCUUAACUUGGGAAUUGCAUUGGUGACUGCACGGCUAGAGUGUGUCAGAGGGGGGUAGAAUUCCACGUGUAGCAGUGAAAUGCGUAGAGAUGUGGAGGAAUACCGAUGGCGAAGGCAGCCCCCUGGGAUAACACUGACGCUCAUGCACGAAAGCGUGGGGAGCAAACAGG
rnacentral:rRNA from 1 species